CCUACGGGAGGCAGCAGUGGGGAAUUUUGGACAAUGGGCGCAAGCCUGAUCCAGCAAUGCCGCGUGCAGGAUGAAGGCCUUCGGGUUGUAAACUGCUUUUGUACGGAACGAAACGGUCCUUUCUAAUACAAGGGGCUAAUGACGGUACCGUAAGAAUAAGCACCGGCUAACUACGUGCCGGCAGCCGCGGUAAUACGUAGGGUGCGAGCGUUAAUCGGAAUUACUGGGCGUAAAGCGUGCGCAGGCGGUUAUAUAAGACAGAUGUGAAAUCCCCGGGCUCAACCUGGGACCUGCAUUUGUGACUGUAUAGCUAGAGUGCGGCAGAGGGGGAUGGAAUUCCGCGUGUAGCAGUGAAAUGCGUAGAUAUGCGGAGGAACACCGAUGGCGAAGGCAAUCCCCUGGGCCUGCACUGACGCUCAUGCACGAAAGCGUGGGGAGCAAACAGGAUUAGAUACCCUGGUAGUCCACGCCCUAAACGAUGUCAACUGGUUGUUGGGUCUUCACUGCUCAGUAACGAAGCUAACGCGUGAAGUUGACCGCCUGGGGGAGGUACGGCCGCGAGGUAGUAACGACGAAGAAGUUAGACGGCGUGAGACGUGCCGACGGACGACGACGAGGGGAGGAGG
rnacentral:rRNA from 1 species